rnacentral:rRNA from 1 species
AUGCCGUCGAUCGACAAGGCCACCGACAACGGCGAGCUGAAGCAGAGGCAGCCGGAGCAGGAGCUGGUCUGCGUCACGGGGGCCGGAGGCUUCAUCGGCUCCUGGGUCGUCAAGGAGCUCCUCCUCCGUGGCUACCGCGCCAGGGGAACCACCAGGGACCCCGGGGGCCGAGGAACUAACGCGCGCGGCCGCUACCUUUGCAUCGGUGCCGUGCUACACCGCGCGCACUUCCUCCAACUCCUCGGCGACCUCUUCCCGCAGUACCACAUAACCGCCAAGUGCGAAGAUGACGGCAAGCCCACGGCGAAGCCGUACAAGUUCUCAAACCUGAGGUUGAGGGAGCUGGGGUUGGAGUUCACUCCGCUGAGGCAAAGCUUGUACGAGACCGUGACGUGCUUGCAGAAAAAGGGCCAUCUGCCUCUCCCCGUUGUUCCCAUAGUACAGAAGCGCGCGUACUUGUAA